rnacentral:rRNA from 1 species
CCUACGGGAGGCAGCAGUGAGGAAUAUUGGUCAAUGGCCGUAAGGCUGAACCAGCCAAGUAGCGUGAGGGAAGACUGCCCUCUGGGUUGUAAACCUCUUUUAUGCGGGGAUAAAGGUGUCCAGGUGUGGAUGUUUGCAGGUACCGCAUGAAUAAGGACCGGCUAAUUCCGUGCCAGCAGCCGCGGUAAUACGGAGGGUCCGCGAGUUAUCCGGAUUUAGUGGGUUUAAAGGGAGCGUAGGCCGGUCUGUAAGCGUGCCGUGAAAUUUUGUGGCUCAACCAGGAGUGUGCGUAGCAAACUGGAGACCUUGAGUGCGGGGAAGGCAGGCGGAAUUCGUGGUGUAGCGGUGAAAUGCUUAGAGAUCACGAAGAACCC